GAAGAUGAACAACGAAGAAGAAGAACAGA
rnacentral:sRNA from 1 species